CCCUUAGAUGUUCUGGGCCGCACGCGCGCUACACUGAUGCAUUCAACGAGUCUAAAACCUGCUCUGAUAGGGGUGGGUAAUCUUUUGAAUGUGCAUCGUGAUUGGGAUAGAUGAUUGCAAUUUUUCAUCUUCAACGAGGAAUGCCUAGUAAACGCAAGUCAUCAGCUUGCAUUGAUUACGUCCCUGCCCUUUGUACACACCGCCCGUCGCUCCUACCGAUUGAAUGAUCCGAUGAAUAUCAUGGAUUGAGGAUGUAAGCGGGUUCGCCUGUCUUCAUCUUCGAGAAGUGAAGUAAAUCUUAUCAUUUAGAGGAAGGAGAAGUCGUAACA
rnacentral:rRNA from 1 species